AUGACAAGCUUGUAUUUGCAAAUGUACACACCCUGUGGGAGGUGAUCUGUACAUACGCUGAGAUACUGUACAUAAAAUUGCCUCUGAAUCCCAAUCAUCUGAAAACCGUGUCCUCAGCCUUUGAUACCUUCAGCUGUUUUAUGAAAGUCCUCCAAGUGGAUGAAAGUAUCAACAACCGGAACAAGAGUUUUUCAUUGCCCUAUUUGAGAAGAGCUGCGUGAACGACUUUUAUAUUCAGGAUAGAGAUACAUUCAUCAAUCCAACCACCAGGAGCCGCACUGUAAGUCUAAACCGAGUUUAGCUGCUGUCUUGGGGGUGAUUUAGAACCUGCUGUUGAAUUAUAAGUGAUUUGGUUUUGUUGGUUUGGUUUGGUUUUUAAAAGCUGCCCAUAAAAAUGAAAAAAGAGAAAGAAAAGAAAUAUGCCUACAGAUUCCUGUUAGGAUAGUAAACAGUGGCUGGUUAUUUACCCUGUAUAAACCACACGCUUUCUUAGAAUCUAUUUAGGUUUACUUCAUCCUUUCUCAGAUCAAGUAUCAAGUAAGGGACAGUUUUAAAAAAAAAUUCAGGAUUAACUGGAUUGUGAGCUCCGGGAUCUGCAAGGCAGCUUUCCCUUCCCAUGGUGUAAGUCAAAUGGCAGAAAUGAAAUAAAGCACUUCAUGUAUCCUCCGGUGUUAACAGGAAAAGGUGAGUCUUCUUGACCUUGUUACUUCCUGGGUAAAAUGAAGAUAAUAUGUCAGGAGUCGACAAGCCCAUUUAGGGCAGGAACCAUGUUGUCUUGUUCACUGCUGAAUCCCAGGCACCAGGAAGGCUGAGUUUAACAAGUGGGUGAAUGAAUGAACUGUAUUUCCCCCAGAGUUACCAUGUGGGGCAGUGUGGAUUAGCAUCUAAGAACAUAGACACGAGAGGUGAGGGUACAGCUCAAGUGAUGGGGCGCAUGCUUAGCACGCAUAAAGUCCUGGGUUCAGCCCCCAACACCUCCUCUAAAAUAGACAAAUAACCCUAAUUACCUCCCCACCCCCCCACCAGAAUUACCUUAUUAUCUCCCUGCCACCAAAAAAAAAAAAAAAAAGGUAGAAGUGGCCAAGAGCAUAGACUCAGGCUGGAACACUUGUGCUGGUUUCUCGCUGUCUACCUUGUAAAAGUCAUUUAGCCUCUGUGUUUAUCAAGUUCCUCAUCAAUAAAAUGGGGAUAAUAAUAGUACCCACCUCGUAGAGAUGCUAUGGGGAUUAAUGAAUCUGCUUGAAUUUUAGAACAGCCCUGGCUAAUAGUAAGUACUAUGCAUUUGCCAGCUCUUUUCAUAAUUACUGACAGAUGUUAUUAUCAACCAAAGAAGUAUUAGUUCUUUGUAAGGGAAAUGCAUGUUAGACCAUUUCAUUUAUCAUUUUCUGUAAUUCAGGCUUUUUCCCUCUGAAAUACCAUUUUCUGUCUGUGCACUAGUAAAUCACAGGGCUUUCCAAAUUUCAUCUGUCUGAGUUCUUGUCAUGAUGACAAUACUGCAGAGUUUUGACAUUUUUUAGGGACUCCAUCUGAGAUGACAGCAACCCCUCAAAUUCAGAAGCACUUCUCUAACUGACAACAUCUCGCAUGAAAUGAAGUUUGUAAAAUUGCAACUUCAGCCUCCAUCAGAGGACCUCAGCUGCCCCAGCGAACAGGGCCUUCUGUACAGGGAAUGUGCUCCUCCUCGAAGCAUAGACAAGAAGCAGCCCUUAGAUCUCAUCAGGAAAUUCUACGGAGAGAAGGUCGGAAUCUACUUUGCUUGGGCUGGGCUAUUACAUUCAGAUGCUCCUCCUGGCAGCAGUCGUGGGGGUGACUUGCUUUCUUGUGACCCAGGUGGCUGUCUCCUUGAACUGAUGAUGCAGCUGACAAUAAUCAUGGGAGGACAGUCCAUCUGGAAUAACAUACAAGAGGUGUUACUUCCGUGUUUCUCAUGUGCAAAUUGGUAUCCCUGCAUGAGAACCAUAAACCAACAGAAAACCCAAAAGACCGAGGACAAUGAUGGGUUGCCGACAGCCCAAGCUUUUCUGCCACAGAAGAGUGGUUCCAGUCAGGAAGACUGAGCAAGAGGCUCAGAGUCUUAGCUAAGGACAAGCAAGUCGGGACUUCUAAUACGACCUAAUGUCAUCGACGGGGGAGGGCAGUUCAGCACAAGAAGGGAGCACCAGCUGGGUCAUGAAUCUAAUGAUGCCACAGUUUCGGAAGCAGAACAGACCACCCCACGAUGGGAAUGGGACAACCAUCUGUAUCCAACGGGCAAACUGGGGUUAUUUUAUGAAUACCCUGAAAUGAGUAUUCAGUUUGGGUUCACCACAGUAUAUGUGGCCUCUUUCCAGUGGCCCCUCUGUUGGCUCUGGAGAACAAUAUAUUGGAAAUCAGAGUGGGUACGUGGAACCUUGACUACCCAGUAUAGAUGCAUUGUGCCAGAAAGCCCAGAACAUCGCAGCAUGGCAGCCCACCAUGCAAGGAACUGCAAUUCUGGCUUUGGUGGACCAAUGUGAAUAAAAAGGCUUCAUUGGGUGAAGACUUAGAAAAGUCCAAAAAUGCAUUGGUGUUGUUUCCUAAGGAAUCUAGUGUUGGGUACUGUUUAAUAUGAGAGGGAGAUGCUAACACUAUCAUCGUUAUAAACAACAUAGUUGUUGUAACUGUAAUUGUUAUUAUUUUUAAUAUAUUUUCUUUAUAAUUAUUAUUUGUGACUUACAAGACCCUUACAGAGGCAGUUGUUAAGGAGCGUGGCCGUUAUACUGUUGCUGAAGUGUUAAUUCAGUAGAAGCAUGGUAAUAGCAUUAAUAAGUACUCACUCUUUUGAUCCUCACAUUGACUAUAAAGGUCACCCAGCAGUGCUUGUAUAAUGGAGAUAGAAAUCUAUCCGUUUAAGUGUUUGUAGAACUUAAAAUAAGAGCAGACAUUCCACCGCAUUUGACCAUAUAUUCCAGACUAUCAGUUUAAAAUAGGAACUACCUGAUGAGGCCAUAGAAACACUUUGUGCAUCCCCAAUCAUUCACUACCUUCCUGGUCCCCUGGGGCAGCGGUUCUUCCAGAAGGUGGCCCCAUCUCUCCUCCCCACCCCACUCUUGGCCUUUGAUAACAACUGUUGGUCAUUAGCUAAGCAUCCUCAUGUCCUGCAUGUGUCUGAGCUGUGAGGGAACAGAACUCAGCUGUUUACAAACUGUAUUGACUAUGACCAGUAUGAACAGCCUCUCUCCUUCCCUGCCCACAACCCCACAGUGCAACACGGGGCUCACAACCACAGCGAUUCCCAUGCCAGCCCAUCAGGGAACCUUCUUCCCUAGAAAUAUUCUUACAACGAGAGAUGUUUCCUCCCUUACUUCACUGCCAGUUUCACUCCCAGGUUACAGUCCCCAACAAAAGGCUAUCCCAGUUUGAAUUUCUUAAUCAAGUCUCAUUGACCCUGAGUACCUGGCUUUUUCCUAUGAGCACUCAUAGAAAUAGAACAGGGCCAGGCAGUGGCUGUGGGCCAGGUUCCUGGGUGAGGGGACUUGCUGGGAGCUUCAGGUUCUGUAGCCUGGCCCGAGCUGAGCUCCCAGCACGGCGUCUUCCCAUCUGCAUUAUUUCGGGCCAGGCUUCAACAGUUCAGAGUUUCAUUUUAUCAUCUGCAAA